GCAGCCGCGGUAAUACGUAGGUUGCAAGCGUUGUCCGGAUUUACUGGGUGUAAAGGGCGUGUAGGCGGAGAUGCAAGUUGGGAGUGAAAUCCCGGGGCUCAACCCCGGAACUGCUUUCAAAACUGCAUCCCUUGAGUAUCGGAGAGGCAAGCGGAAUUCCUAGUGUAGCGGUGAAAUGCGUAGAUAUUAGGAGGAACACCAGUGGCGAAGGCGGCUUGCUGGACGACAACUGACGCUGAGGCGCGAAAGCGUGGGGAGCAAACAGGAUUAGAUACCCG
rnacentral:rRNA from 1 species